CCUGCCCACACCUGCAGAGAGUUGGGAGCGUGAAGACUGAAGGAAGAAAGUCAGAGACAGAAAACUAAGAGAAGAACCGGGAAGAACAUGUUCAACCCAAUCCGUCUGAUUCUCUGAUCCGAGCCGAACCGAGCCGAGCCGAGCCGGGAUCAGAGCCAGUUUUACCUGGACCCACCUGGACCCGGAUCCUCCUGAGACUCCCUGAAGAUUUCUCAACAUUUCCCUGAAGCAGGAAGUACAGCAGCAGCAGCCAUGGGUAGCAAGGAGCGAUACCAUUGGGUGGCUCAGAACGUGAAGGUGAGCGGCGUGGACGACAUGGUGCUGCUGUCCAAGAUCAACGAGGACGCCAUCACCGACAACCUGAAGAAGAGAUACAUGGACGACUACAUCUUCACGUACAUCGGUGCUGUUCUGAUCUCGGUGAAUCCGUUCAAACAGCUUCCUUAUUUCACCGACAGAGAAGUGGAAAUCUACCAGGGAGCUGCUCAGUAUGAGAAUCCUCCCCACAUCUACGCUCUGGCUGACACCAUGUACAGAAACAUGAUGAUUGACAGCGAGAACCAGUGUGUCAUCAUCAGCGGUGAGAGUGGAGCAGGGAAAACUGUCGCUGCCAAAUACAUCAUGAGCUACGUGUCGAAAGUGUCCGGAGGAGGAGACAAAGUCCAGCAUGUUAAAGACAUCAUCCUGCAGUCCAACCCUCUGCUGGAAGCUUUCGGUAACGCCAAAACUGUCCGUAACAACAACUCCAGCAGAUUUGGUAAAUACUUUGAGAUCCAGUUCAGUCGAGGUGGAGCUCCUGAUGGAGGAAAAAUCUCAAACUUUCUGUUGGAGAAAAGUCGAGUAGUUUCCCAAAAUCCUGGAGAGAGAAGCUUCCACAUCUACUACCAGCUGUUGGGGGGGGCGAGUUCGGAGCAGCGGGAGAACCUCGGGGUCACGACCCCCGACUACUACCUGUACCUCAACCAAUCAGGAACCUACACGGUGGAGGACAUGAACGACAAGAAGGAGUUCACUGACACUAUGGCGGCCAUGUCAGUAGUGGGUCUGUCUGCCGAGGACCAGGAAGCAGUUCUUCAGCUCGUUGCAGGAAUUCUUCAUCUGGGAAACAUCAGCUUCAGAGAGGAGAACAAUUACGCUGUGGUCGAAAGCCAGGACUUCCUAGCGUUCCCGUGCUUCCUGCUGGGGAUCCCUCAGGACGGCCUGUGCAGUAAGCUGACCAGCAGGAUGAUGGACAGUAAGUGGGGGGGGAAGACUGAGUCCAUCUCGGUCACGCUGAACACGGAGCAGGCCUGUUUCUCCAGAGACGCUCUGUCCAAGGCGCUGUACACCAGGCUGUUUGACUUCCUCGUAGACUGUAUUAAUAAAGCCAUGCAGAAGGACCAGGAGGAGCUCAACAUCGGAGUCCUCGACAUCUACGGCUUUGAGAUCUUCCAGAGAAACGGCUUCGAGCAGUUCUGCAUCAACUUUGUGAACGAGAAGCUGCAGCAGAUUUUUAUCGAGCUCACGCUGAAGGCAGAACAGGAAGAGUAUGUCCAGGAGGGGAUCAAGUGGACGCCCAUCGAGUAUUUCAACAACAAGGUGGUCUGUGACCUCAUCGAGUCCAAACUGAAUCCUCCUGGGGUGAUGAGCAUCCUGGACGACGUGUGCGCCACGAUGCACGCUAAAGGAGAAGGCGCCGACCAGACGCUGCUGCAGAAGCUGCAGGGCCAGAUCGGCUCGCACGAACACUUCAGCAGCUGGAACAAGGGCUUCAUCAUCCACCACUACGCCGGGAAGGUGUCGUAUGAUGUCAGUGGUUUCUGUGAGAGGAACAGAGACGUGUUGUUCACCGACAUCAUUGAGCUGAUGCAGAGCAGCGAGUUUCCGUUCAUCAGAGCUCUGUUUCCUGAGAACCUGGAGGCGGAGAAGAGAGGGCGUCCGAGCACCGCCAGCACUAAGAUCAAGAAACAGGCCAACAGUCUGGUCCAGACCCUGAUGAAGUGCACCCCCCACUACAUCCGCUGCAUCAAGCCCAACGAGACCAAGCGGCCCCGGGACUGGGAGGAGAACCGGGUCAGACACCAGGUGGAGUACCUGGGCCUCCGCGAGAACAUCAGAGUCCGUCGGGCCGGAUACGCCUACAGACGCGUCUUCAACAAGUUCCUCCACAGGUACGCCAUCCUGACGAAGGAGACGUGGCCUCGCUGGAAGGGCGAGGAGCGCCAGGGAGUCAUGCACCUCCUCAGCUCCGUCAACAUGGACCAGGACCAGUUCCAGCUCGGCAAGACCAAAGUCUUCAUCAAGGCUCCAGAGUCGCUCUUCUUGUUGGAGGAGAUGAGGGAGAGGAAGUAUAACGGGUAUGCUCGGGUCAUCCAGAAGGCGUGGCGUAAACACAUCGCUGUCCGCAAGUACGUCAAGAUGAGGGAGGAAGCCUCUGACGUCCUGCUGAACAAAAAGGAGCGCCGCAGAAACAGCAUCAACAGGAACUUUGUGGGCGACUACCUCGGGACUGACAACCACCCAGAGAUCAGACAGUUCGUCGGCCGCAGAGAGAGGAUCGACUUCGCCGACGUCGUGGUGAAGUUUGACAGAAGAUUCAAGACAACGAAGCGUGACCUCAUCCUGACCCCGAAGUUCCUGUACCUGAUUGGUCGAGAGAAGGUGAAGCAGGGUCCAGAUAAAGGUCAGAUCCAGGAGGUCCUCAAGAGGAAGAUCGAGCUCAACAAGAUCCAGUCUGUUUCCCUGAGCACUCUGCAGGACGAUUUCUUCACAAUCCACGAGGAGGAGUACGACAGCGUCCUUCAGAGCGUCUUUAAAACGGAGUUCCUCAGUCUGCUCGUCAAACGUUAUCAGGAGAAAACUCAGAAGAAGCUGCCGCUCAAAUUCAACAACCUUCUGGAGUUUAAGGUGAAGAAAGGCGGGUGGGGUCCCUUCAACUCCUCUGGGUCCAGACAGAUCCAGUUCCAGGCGGGUCAGGGGGACGAGGCAGUCCUGAAGCCCUGCGGCAAGGUCCUGCAGGUCUCCAUCGGACCCGGGCUGCCUAAAAACUCCAGACCGACGAGGAAGGACAAUCGCAAGAGUCGCUACAUGGGAAGCCAGGCUCCGCCUAGCGGCCAGAACAGCUCAGCUUCUCGCUCCAGAGGGGGUGGAGCUCCCAGAGGAGGCCCUGCCUCCUCCAGAGGCUCCCUGCUGAGGCAGCACUCCACCAUGGAGCAGCCGAGUCUGCCCCGACUCCAGAGCCAGCGUCGACCCGACAGCCGGGCCCCAAAACAACCCGACAUGGGCUUCAUGAACGUCCCCGAGCAGGGCGCCGCAGGGCUUCAGCGGCGGCUGUCGAAGGAGGUGAAGCCUCUUCCUGGAGCCGGCCGAGCUAAACCGGCGCCCAAACCGAAGCCUCGCUCUCCGCAGUGCAGAGCGCUGUACGCCUACGAUGCCCAGGACACCGACGAACUCAGCUUCAACGCCGAUGAUAUCAUUGACAUACUCACUCAAGAUCCGUCUGGUUGGUGGUUUGGGCGGUUGCGGGGCAGAGAGGGGAUGUUCCCCGGAAACUACGUGGAGAAGAUCUAACCCUCCUCUCUGGGGGGUCAGAGGUCACCGGAGCUGUCAACACAUCAGCUGACAGGAGAAACAAGUUCAUUCACAAACAAACACGGAUGUUUCACUCAGACUGACAACAGCAAAGUCACUGUGUACACUCAGGUUACACGUUUCCCCCUCUCAUUCCUCCUGCUCUGGUGUUUCCCCCUCUCAUUCCUUCUGCUCUGGCGUUUCCCCCUCUCAUUCCCCCUGCUCUGGUGUUUCCCCCU